CACGUAGGGGGCGAGCGUUGUCCGGAUUUAUUGGGCGUAAAGAGCUCGUAGGCGGUUUCGUAAGUCGGAUGUGAAAACUCCAGGCUCAACUUGGAGACGCCAUUCGAUACUGCGAUGACUUGAGUCCGGUAGGGGAGUGUGGAAUUCCUGGUGUAGCGGUGAAAUGCGCAGAUAUCAGGAGGAAUACCGGUGGCGAAGGCGGCAUCCUGGACCGACAUUGACGCUGAUGAGCGAAAGCUAGGGGAGCAAACGGG
rnacentral:rRNA from 1 species